rnacentral:piRNA from 1 species
UAAACUAGAAAUGUGGCCCCUCUCCCC